GCCGGCGUAGCUCAACUGGUAGAGCAGCUGACUUGUAAUCAGCAGGUUGUCCGUUCAAGUCGGUCCGCCGGCUCCA
rnacentral:tRNA from 1 species